rnacentral:rRNA from 1 species
CCCUAUGAAGCUUUACUGUAGUUUGAAAUUGACUUUGGGUUUAAUUUGCGCAGCAUAGGUGGGAGGCUAAGAGAAUAUGCUCGAGGGUAUAUAGGAGCCAUCAGUGAGAUACCACUCUAAUUAAACUAAAAUUCUAACCUUGAAGUCGUUAACCGGCCAAGGAACAGUUUCAGAUGGGCAGUUUGACUGGGGCGGUCGCCUCCUAAAAAGUAACGGAGGCGUACAAAGGUUUCUUCAGGCUGGUCGGAAAUCAGUCGUAGAGUAUAAAGGCAUAAAGAAGCUUGACUGCGAGACCUACAAGUCGAGCAGAGACGAAAGUCGGUCUUAGUGAUCCGACAGUACUGAGUGGAAAGGCUGUCGCUCAACGGAUAAAAGUUACUCUAGGG